rnacentral:rRNA from 1 species
UACAGAGGUCUCAAGCGUUGUUCGGAUUCAUUGGGCGUAAAGGGUGCGUAGGCGGCGCGGUAAGUCGGGUGUGAAAUCUUGGAGCUUAACUCCGAAACUGCAUUCGAUACUGCCGUGCUUGAGGACUGGAGAGGAGACUGGAAUUUACGGUGUAGCGGUGAAAUGCGUAGAUAUCGUAAGGAAGACCAGUGGCGAAGGCGGGUCUCUGGACAGUUCCUGACGCUGAGGCACG